rnacentral:rRNA from 1 species
AACGAACGCUGGCGGCAUGCCUAACACAUGCAAGUCGAACGAUCCCUUCGGGGAUAGUGGCGCACGGGUGCGUAACGCGUGGGAAUCUGCCCUUGGGUUCGGAAUAACAGUGAGAAAUUACUGCUAAUACCGGAUGAUGUCUUCGGACCAAAGAUUUAUCGCCCAAGGAUGAGCCCGCGUAGGAUUAGCUAGUUGGUGGGGUAAUGGCCUACCAAGGCGACGAUCCUUAGCUGGUCUGAGAGGAUGAUCAGCCACACUGGGACUGAGACACGGCCCAGACUCCUACGGGAGGCAGCAGUGGGGAAUAUUGGACAAUGGGCGAAAGCCUGAUCCAGCAAUGCCGCGUGAGUGAUGAAGGCCUUAGGGUUGUAAAGCUCUUUUACCCGGGAUGAUAAUGACAGUACCGGGAGAAUAAGCUCCGGCUAACUCC